GUUUUAAUAAUUUAAAAAAAAUAUUGAUUUUGUAAAUCAAAUUUGAAGAAAUUCUUAAAACU
rnacentral:tRNA from 1 species